AACAUCGCGCACCUGCGGGAACCUGCGGAGGGAUCAUUACAGAGUUGCAAAACUCCCUAAACCAUCGUGAACGUUACCUAAACCGUUGCUUCGGCGGGCGGCCCGGGUCCUUCCCGGCGCCCCUCGGCCCUCGCGGGCGCCCGCCGGAGGUAAACCAAACUAUUGCAUUGUAUGGCCUCUCUGAGUCUUCUGUACUGAAUAAGUCAAAACUUUUAGCAAUGGAUCUCAGAUCGGAAGAGC
rnacentral:misc_RNA from 1 species